CACGUAGGGUGCGAGCGUUGUCCGGAAUUAUUGGGCGUAAAGAGCUCGUAGGCGGUGUGUCGCGUCGGCCGUGAAAACCUGCAGCUUAACUGGGGAACUGCGUCUGAUACUGGAUGGCUUGGAUUCGGGAGAGGAAUGCGGAAUUCCAGGUGUAGCGGUGAAAUGCGUAGAUAUCUGGAGGAACACCGGUGGCGAAGGCGGUUGCCUGGAGCUUUGCUGACGCUGAGGCGCGAAAGCGUGGGGAGCGAUCCGG
rnacentral:rRNA from 1 species